AUGCUUCUUUUGGCCAUCACCUUCAUUACCAGCAUGAUGCAACCCGGUGACAUCUGUACAUUUCUUGGAUUGUGUGGAGGACGUGACAUUGACAGGAUUAGAGAUCUGUUGCUUAAUCACAUGUCAAAAACUCUACCAGUGCCAACUAUGAAGAUGGAGACGUCCAUGCAGUGCUCUGUUUGCACAUACAUUGUGAGCACCCUGAGAGUAUCUGUUUCCCAGAGAGAGGACUCAGAGCAUCAUAACUGUCCUGCUGGAGAGUUUGUGCAAAGAGUUUCCUCCUCUGUUUCAGCCCACAGUGCAAUAAGAUGGUUGAAAAAUACAUCCAGCUAUACAUAUAUAUGUAUGUAUAUAUAUAUAUAUAUUUUUUUUUUUUCCUACAACAGAAUUUUCCUACAACAGAAUAACUCAAAUGGAGAUAGUCCAGUAACAGAAUGCAGAGUAGCACGGUAAGCACGGUAAGCACGGACGCGUAUUGAAGCGAUGAGAAGAGGAAAUGUUGAAUAAAGUUUUGUUUUCAUCAUGUUAAAAAAGUAAC
ensembl:lncRNA